rnacentral:rRNA from 1 species
CCUACGGGUGGCAGCAGUGGGGAAUAUUGGACAAUGGGCGAAAGCCUGAUCCAGCCAUGCCGCGUGUGUGAAGAAGGCCUUCGGGUUGUAAAGCACUUUCAGUGGGGAAGAAAGCCUUGGGGCUAAUACCCUCGAGGAAGGACAUCACCCACAGAAGAAGCACCGGCUAACUCCGUACCAGCAGCCGCGGUAAUACGGAGGGUGCGAGCGUUAAUCGGAAUUACUGGGCGUAAAGCGCGCGUAGGCGGUCUGAUAAGCCGGUUGUGAAAGCCCCGGGCUCAACCUGGGAACGGCAUCCGGAACUGUCAGGCUAGAGUGCAGGAGAGGAAGGUAGAAUUCCCGGUGUAGCGGUGAAAUGCGUAGAGAUCGGGAGGAAUACCAGUGGCGAAGGCGGCCUUCUGGACUGACACUGACGCUGAGGUGCGAAAGCGUGGGUAGCAAACAGGAUUAGAUCCCUUGUAGUC